rnacentral:rRNA from 1 species
AGCUCCAAUAGCGUAUAUUAAAGUUGUUGCAGUUAAAAAGCUCGUAGUUGGAUUUUGGGUUUGGUUUUAGUUCGGUUUACUUAUUGUAAUACUGUCUAGGCCGCCCUUCUUCUCGAGGCCUCUGGGUGCACUUAACCGUGUGUUCAGAGUGUUCGGGACUUUUACCGUGAGAAAAUUAGAGUGUUCAAAGCAGGCUUUUGCUUGAAUAUUGCAGCAUGGAAUAAUGGAAUAGGAUCAUGAUCUUAUUUUGUUGGUUUCUAAGAUCAAGAUAAUGAUUAAUAGGGAUAGUUGGGGGCAUUAAUAUUUAGUUGUCAGAGGUGAAAUUCUUAGAUUUACAAAAGAUUAACUUCUGCGAAAGCAUUUGCCAAGGAUGUUUUCG